UCCGGCGUCAGCAGAGCAACAUCGUCCACGUCCAGUUCCUUCCUUCUCACCUUCAACAUCAUGGAUGGACAUAGAAGAAAUCAAUUGAGAUCCGAAAACAAUAAAGCAAGAUCAUGGAGGAUCUGCUUGAAAUUAUUCAGUUCAAAUCCUGUACAAAACAUCGACAUAUGAGAUGAUUUUUGAGGUUUCGUACAUAAUUUUGAAGCUGCCUGACUGGACGUGGUGUUAAUUAUGGCCGAAGUGGUAGAGCUACAUCAUGAUAAAGAAUAUCAUGCUCCAACCUUUUUGGGUAUGAAGAUGUUCAGACUAAGAAUGGAUUCUCAAAAUCAAAACUACUAAUCGAGAUUCAAGAUGUAAUGCACAUCAGUCCAGAAGCUACAAAUCUCUGGAAGGAAAUGGCUACAUGAUCAUCAUGGGGGACCAGUGUGCCAAGGACUAUGCUUUCGUAAGAACAAACCAGUGACCAGUUCGAACCGGAAGUCAAAUAGAGGCAAGAGCUGUUGAGAAGACAUAGAGGUCUGUUUGUAUCUAGAUACUUUCAAAGUGUUAACCAUCAUUGUUGAAUACAUGCUUAAAAAUAA